rnacentral:rRNA from 1 species
AUUGAACGCUGGCGGCAGGCUUAACACAUGCAAGUCGAGCGGGGAAGGGUAGCUUGCUACCUAACCUAGCGGCGGACGGGUGAGUAAUGCUUAGGAAUCUGCCAUUUAGUGGGGGACAACAUUCCGAAAGGAAUGCUAAUACCGCAUACGUCCUACGGGAGAAAGCAGGGGAUCUUCGGACCUUGCGCUAAAUGAUGAGCCUAAGUCGGAUUAGCUAGGUGGUGGGGUAAAGGCCUACCAAGGCGACGAUCUGUAGCGGGUCUGAGAGGAUGAGCCGCCACACGGGGACUGAGACACGGCCCAGACUCCUACGGGAGGCAGCAGUGGGGAAUAUUGGACAAUGGGCGGAAGCCUGAUCCAGCCAUGCCGCGUGUGUGAAGAAGGCCUUAUGGUUGUAAAGCACUUUAAGCGAGGAGGAGGCUACUUAGAUUAAUACUCUAGGAUAGUGGACGUUACUCGCAGAAUAAGCACCGGCUAACUCUGUGCCAGCCGCCGCCGUAA